rnacentral:lncRNA from 1 species
GCCUGUGUUUGUGUGGGGCUGAGGGAAGACACAGGAUCAUGGAGAAAGUUUUGGCAGAGCUGGGAAGCAAGCCCGUCUUUACAUGCUAAAUGAUUAAGCAAUGCUUCUGGACAGCCAAGAUGCCCUGCCCCACCGCUGCCCUCCUGAAGGCCGUGAGCUAGGAAAUAAGCUUAGCACAGAUGUUGAUGGACAACAUAGAGGUGCUGAGUCCUGCAUGCCGAACUCACGCUGCCAUCGGGAGAGCAGAAACAUCGGUGGGACACUGCGAGACAUCCCUGCGUAGCUGCACUGGGUGAUAUGAUGGUGUGUAAGCAAACGGUGAGCUGCAUGUCUGCCUCCAGCAGAGUUCAUUCAGCCCAUACGCGUUUGAGGUGGAUUUCCACCACGGAGAAACUCGAAAGCAAUCAGUGGGUGUGAGAGCAGACACUGCGAAAUUUAAAUAAGUCUUGCUCUAGGUGUUACUGCUACCUCCUGAAUCCCAUAUUUAGCUCACUAGGUUGUACUCAGCCUAGGAGUCAUGAAAUGUUAUAAAGGCCAGAACAGUCGGCAAAUAGCAAGUGAUCUGUCUUUCCCAGCAGCUCAAGUGACAGAUAAGAAUCGUGCAGUCUGUUAUAGAUGACAUAUCAUUAGGUUGCAGCCAACUUGAGUGAAAGGAAAAGCAGCCAACUGAAACUCCAGGGGUCACUGCAGAACGCAGUCACCCAGAGCGACGGGAAUCUGGGCAAAAUACCCAACACUGGCACUUUCUGACCGUGCCAUAGAUCUAACAGUAAACACACACUGGCCAGGAAGUAUUAUCACACAUAUUUGUAUAGCCUGAAUUUCCUGGUACAGUGUUUUUCUUAACACCAAGAUGUCAAUCAUUGAAAUAAAAUAUUCCACUAAAAUAUUUUAUAGGAAUCU